UACGGAGGGUGCAAACGUUGCUCGGAAUCAUUGGGCGUAAAGCGCACGUAGGCGGUUUGUUAAGUCGGAUGUGAAAGCCCCCGGCUUAACUGGGGAGGGUCAUUCGAUACUGUUCGACUUGAAGGCAGGAGAGGGCAGCAGAAUUCCCGGUGUAGUGGUGAAAUGCGUAGAUAUCGGGAGGAAUACCAGUGGCGAAGGCGGCUGCCUGGCCUGUUCUUGACGCUGAGGCGCGAAAGCUGGGGGAGCAAACGGG
rnacentral:rRNA from 1 species